rnacentral:rRNA from 1 species
GACGAACGCUGGCGGCGUGCUUAACACAUGCAAGUCGAACGGAAAGGCCCUGCUUUUGUGGGGUGCUCGAUUGGCGAACGGGUGAGUAACACGUGAGUAACCUGCCCUUGACUUUGGGAUAACUUCAGGAAACUGGGGCUAAUACCGGAUAUGAGCUCCUGCUGCAUGGUGGGGGUUGGAAAGUUUCGGCGGUUGGGGAUGGACUCGCGGCUUAUCAGCUUGUUGGUGGGGUAGUGGCUUACCAAGGCUUUGACGGGUAGCCGGCCUGAGAGGGUGACCGGCCACAUUGGGACUGAGAUACGGCCCAGACUCCUACGGGAGGCAGCAGUGGGGAAUAUUGCACAAUGGGCGGAAGCCUGAUGCAGCAACGCCGCGUGCGGGAUAACGGCCUUCGGGUUGUAAACCGAUUUCGCCUGUGACGAAGCGUGAGUGACGGUAAUGGGUAAAGAAGCACCGGCUAACUACGUG